rnacentral:rRNA from 1 species
UACGUAGGAGACGAGCGUUGUCCGGAAUUACUGGGCGUAAAGCGCGUGUAGGCGGAGGAGCAAGUCUGCUGUGAAAGCCCCUGGCUUAACCGGGGGUGGUCGGUGGAAACUGCUCGUCUGGAGGACGGUAGAGGUAGGUAGAAUUCCCGGUGUAGUGGUGAAAUGCGUAGAGAUCGGGAGGAAUACCUGUGGCGAAGGCGGACCUACUGGGCCGGACCGUGACGCUGAGACGCGAAGGCGUGGGGAGCGAACGGG